rnacentral:rRNA from 1 species
GAUGAACGCUGGCGGCGUGCUUAACACAUGCAAGUCGAACGGAGUAAUAUGAAGUUUUCGGACUAAUUAUUACUUAGUGGCGGACGGGUGAGUAACGCGUGGGUAACCUACUUCAUACAGGGGGAUAACAGUUGGAAACGACUGCUAAAACCGCAUAACAAGUUGAGACCGCAUGAUCUUAACUUCAAAUAUUUAUAGGUAUGAUAUGGGCCCGCGUCUGAUUAGCUAGUUGGUGGGGUAAUGGCCUACCAAGGCAACGAUCAGUAGCCGGCUUGAGGGAGUGACCGGCCACAUUGGGACUGAGACACGGCCAAAACUCCUACGGGAGGCAGCAGUGGGGAAUAUUGGACAAUGGGGGCAACCCUGAUCCAGCGACGCCGCGUGAGUGAAGAAGUAUUUCGGUAUGUAAAGCUCUAUCAGCAGGGAAGAUAAUGACAGUACCUGACUAAGAAGCCCCGGCUAACUACGUGCCAGCCGCCGCAGUAA